AAACCAUGAUGAGGACACUCUAAGCGAAGAUCCUUAAAACAUUCCCUACACCUAGAAAAUGAUUCACUGGGUUUUUGACGAAACUGGAGAAUGUCGUUCCUAAUUUU
rfam:Cephalotus follicularis DNA, scaffold: scaffold2948, isolate: St1.